GAUGAGCGCUAGCGGCAGGCCUAAUACAUGCAAGUCGAACGGUGUCUUCGGACAUAGUGGCGCACGGGUGCGUAACACGUAUGCAACCUACCUUACAUUGGGGGAUAGCCUUUCGAAAGGGAGAUUAAUACCGCAUAAGACAGUAGCUGGGCAUCCAGCAGCUGUUAAAGAUUUAUCGAUGUAAGCUGGGCAUGCGUCCAAUUAGCUAGUUGGUGAGGUAACGGCUCACCAAGGCAAUGAUUGGUAGGGGAACUGGGAGGUCAAUCCCCCACACUGGCACUGAGAUACGGGCCAGACUCCUACGGGAGGCAGCAGUAGGGAAUAUUGGGCAAUGGACGCAAGUCUGACCCAGCCAUGCCGCGUGCAGGAUGAAGGCGUUAUGCGUUGUAAACUGCUUUUAUACAGGAAGAAACGACUCUUGCGAGAGGCAUUGACGGUACUGUAUGAAUAAGCACCGGCUAACUCCGUGCCAGCAGCCGCCGUAAGAC
rnacentral:rRNA from 1 species